AAUUUAUCCUGGCUCAGGAUGAACGCUGGCGGCGUGCUUAACACAUGCAAGUCGAACGGUGAAGCAGAGCUUGCUCUGUGGAUCAGUGGCGAACGGGUGAGUAACACGUGAGCAACCUGCCCCGGACUCUGGGAUAAGCGCUGGAAACGGCGUCUAAUACUGGAUAUGAGCUGCAACCGCAUGGUUAGCAGUUGGAAAGAUUUUUCGGUCUGGGAUGGGCUCGCGGCCUAUCAGCUUGUUGGUGAGGUAAUGGCUCACCAAGGCGUCGACGGGUAGCCGGCCUGAGAGGGUGACCGGCCACACUGGGACUGAGACACGGCCCAGACUCCUACGGGAGGCAGCAGUGGGGAAUAUUGCACAAUGGGCGAAAGCCUGAUGCAGCAACGCCGCGUGAGGGACGACGGCCUUCGGGUUGUAAACCUCUUUUAGCAAGGAAGAAGCGAAAGUGACGGUACUUGCAGAAAAAGCGCCGGCUAACUCCUGCCACAGCCCCCCGGUAA
rnacentral:rRNA from 1 species